rnacentral:rRNA from 1 species
UACGUAGGGGGGCUAGCGUUGUCCGGAUUUAUUUGGGCGUAAAGAGCGUGUAGGCGGCCAGGUAGGUCUGGUGUGAAAACUCGAGGCUUAACCUCGAGAUGUCAUCGGAAACCAUCUGGCUAGAGUCCGGAAGAGGAGAGUGGAAUUCCUGGUGUAGCGGUGAAAUGCGCAGAUAUCAGGAAGAACACCAAUGGCGAAAGCAGCUCUCUGGGACGGUACUGACGCUGAGACGCGAAAGCGUGGGGAGCGAACAGG